ACUCCUGCGGGAGGCAGCAGUGGGGAAUAUUGCACAAUGGGCGCAAGCCUGAUGCAGCCAUGCCGCGUGUAUGAAGAAGGCCUUCGGGUUGUAAAGUACUUUCAGCGGGGAGGAAGGCGAUAAGGUUAAUAACCUUGUCGAUUGACGUUACCCGCAGAAGAAGCACCGGCUAACUCCGUGCCAGCAGCCGCGGUAAUACGGAGGGUGCAAGCGUUAAUCGGAAUUACUGGGCGUAAAGCGCACGCAGGCGGUCUGUCAAGUCGGAUGUGAAAUCCCCAGGCUCAACCUGGGAACUGCAUUCGAAACUGGCAGGCUAGAGUCUUGUAGAGGGGGGUAGAAUUCCAGGUGUAGCGGUGAAAUGCGUAGAGAUCUGGAGGAAUACCGGUGGCGAAGGCGGACCCCUGGACAAAGACUGACGCUCAGGUGCGAAAGCGUGGGGAGCAAACAGGAUUAGAAACCCCAGUAGUCCCAUGA
rnacentral:rRNA from 1 species